GUAGGGUGCAAGCGUUAAUCGGAAUUACUGGGCGUAAAGCGUACGCAGGCGGCUAUGUAAGACAGGCGUGAAAUCCCCGGGCCCAACCUGGGAACUGCGCUUGUGACUGCAUAGCUGGAGUCCGUAAGAGGGGGGUGGAAUUCCACGUGUAGCAGUGAAAUGCGUAGAGAUGUGGAGGAACACCGAUGGCGAAGGCAGCCCCCUGGGAUGAGACUGACGCUCAUGUACGAAAGCGUGGGGAGCAAACAGGAUUAGAUACCCUGGUAGUCCACGCCCUAAACGAUGUCGACUAGUUGUCGGGUCUUUACAGACUUGGUAACGCAGCUAACGCGUGAAGUCGACCGCCUGGGGAGUACGGUCGCAAGAUUA
rnacentral:rRNA from 1 species